AAGACUUUAAGUUAAAAUAAACUAAAAACCUUCAAAGUUUUCAAUAGAUGUGCUCUAAGUCUUG
rnacentral:tRNA from 1 species